rnacentral:lncRNA from 1 species
GUAAAUGUCACACCUUACCCAUACCCACGCACAACCAUAAAAACCUAGUUUUCAACAAUUCGACAGACGUAUCUUUAUCAGCCAGUGCCGCCGUACACAACCCUAAUUUGUAACGAUCAUUAACAAUGUUAGAGGAAAAGAGGCGACGUGAUCUCAGGGGAACUGAAGAACGUAGAUGUUACUCGAUCAUAACAUGUUGAGAAUUCAUAGGUUAUAACAAGUAUCCCGUGCAAUCUGACUGCACAUGGGUGUGAUGCAGCUGAUGGAUUUUUAAGUGAUUGGUGGGGGCAAGACCCAAAUUCCCCGGAGAAUCUAUUGGAUGAAGAUUAUGAUCCGUCUCCAUCUACAUCCC